rnacentral:rRNA from 1 species
UAGGGAAUAUUGGGCAAUGGACGCAAGUCUGACCCAGCCAUGCCGCGUGCAGGAAGACGGCCCUCUGGGUUGUAAACUGCUUUUAUCAGGGAAGAAACCCUUCUACGUGUAGGAGGCUGACGGUACCUGAGGAAUAAGGAUCGGCUAACUCCGUGCCAGCAGCCGCGGUAAUACGGAGGAUCCAAGCGUUGUCCGGAUUUAUUGGGUUUAAAGGGUGCGUAGGCGGACUUAUAAGUCAGAGGUGAAAGCCGGUAGCUUAACUAUCGAAUUGCCUUUGAAACUGUAGGUCUUGAAUUUUGUUGAGGUAGGCGGAAUGUAUCAUGUAGCGGUGAAAUGCAUAGAUAUGAUACAGAACACCGAUUGCGAAGGCAGCUUACUAAGCAAACAUUGACGCUGAGGCACGAAAGCGUGGGGAUCAAA